UUGGCCUGAAGUCAAGCAAGAAAACCCACUGAAUUUAAGCAUAUAAGUGAGUGGAGGAUGAGAAACUAAACAGGAUUCCUUUAGUA
rnacentral:rRNA from 1 species